rnacentral:rRNA from 1 species
CAGAGGGGGCAAGCGUUGUUCGGAAUUACUGGGCGUAAAGGGCGCGUAGGCGGCCUUCUAAGUCGAACGUGAAAUCCCCGGGCUCAACCCGGGAACUGCGUCCGAUACUGGAAGGCUUGAAUCCGGGAGAGGGAUGCGGAAUUCCAGGUGUAGCGGUGAAAUGCGUAGAUAUCUGGAGGAACACCGGUGGCGAAGGCGGCAUCCUGGACCGGUAUUGACGCUGAGGCGCGAAAGCCAGGGGAGCAAACGGGAUUAGAUACCCCGGUAGUCCUGGCCCUAAACGAUGAAUGCUUGGUGUGGCGGGUAUCGAUCCCUGCCGUGCCGAAGCUAACGCAUUAAGCAUUCCGCCUGGGGAGUACGGUCGCAAGGCUG